CUGCCCUCAAGCCCGGCUUGUGUGUUGGGCCGCCGUCCCCCCGGGGACGGGCCCGAAAGGCAGCGGCGGCACCGCGUCCGACCCUCGAGCGUAUGGGGCUUCGUCACCCGCUCCGUAGGGCCGGCCGGCGCCUGCCGACCUCCAUCAACCUUCUUUCCA
rnacentral:misc_RNA from 1 species